rnacentral:rRNA from 1 species
AUUGAACGCUGGCGGCAGGCCUAACACAUGCAAGUCGAGCGGAUGAAGGGAGCUUGCUCCUGGAUUCAGCGGCGGACGGGUGAGUAAUGCCUAGGAAUCUGCCUGGUAGUUGGGGAUAACGUCCGGAAACGGGCGCUAAUACCGCAUACGUCCUGAGGGAGAAAGUGGGGGAUCUUCGGACCUCACGCUAUCAGAUGUGCCUAGGUCGGAUUAGCUAGUCGGUGGGGUAAAGGCCUACCAAGGCGACGAUCCGUAACUGGACUGAGAGGAUGAUCAGUCACACUGGAACUGAGACACGGUCCAGACUCCUACGGGAGGCAGCAGUGGGGAAUAUUGGACAAUGGGCGAAAGCCUGAUCCAGCCAUGCCGCGUGUGUGAAGAAGGUCUUCGGAUUGUAAAGCACUUUUAGUUGGGAAGAAGGGCAGUGAGUUAAUACCUUGCUGUUUUGACGUUACCAACAGAAUAAGCACCGGCUAACUUCGUG